CCUACGGGAGGCUGCAGUGGGGAAUUUUGGACAAUGGGGGCAACCCUGAUCCAGCCAUUCCGCGUGAGUGAAGAAGGCCUUCGGGUUGUAAAGCUCUUUUGUCCGGAGCGAAACGGGCGGCCCUAAUACGGUCGUCUACUGACGGUACCGGAAGAAUAAGCACCGGCUAACUACGUGCCAGCAGCCGCGGUAAUACGUAGGGUGCGAGCGUUAAUCGGAAUUACUGGGCGUGAAGCGUAAGCAGGAUGUUAAAUCCCCGGGCUCAACCUGGGAAUGGCAUGUGGGACUGCAAGGCUGGAGUGUGGCAGAGGGGACUAGAAUUCCUGGUGUAGCAGUGAAAUGCGUAGAUAUCAGGAGGAAUACCGAUGGCGAAGGCAGGUCCCUGGGUUAACACUGACGCUCAUGCACGAAAGCGUGGGGAGCAAACAGGAUUAGAUACCCCUGUAGUC
rnacentral:rRNA from 1 species